rnacentral:rRNA from 1 species
UACGUAGGGGGCAAGCGUUAUCCGGAUUUACUGGGUGUAAAGGGGGCGUAGACGGCGAUGCAAGCCAGGAGUGAAAGCCCGGGGCCCAACCCCGGGACUGCUCUUGGAACUGCGUGGCUGGAGUGCAGGAGGGGCAGGCGGAAUUCCUGGUGUAGCGGUGAAAUGCGUAGAUAUCAGGAGGAACACCGGUGGCGAAGGCGGCCUGCUGGACUGCAACUGACGUUGAGGCCCGAAAGCGUGGGGAGCAAACAGG